rnacentral:rRNA from 1 species
GACGAACGCUGGCGGCGUGCUUAACACAUGCAAGUCGAACGGUAAGGCCCUUCGGGGUACACGAGUGGCGAACGGGUGAGUAACACGUGGGUGAUCUGCCCUGCACUUCGGGAUAAGCCUGGGAAACUGGGUCUAAUACCGGAUAGGACUCCUGGCUUCAUGGUUGGGGGUGGAAAGCUUUUGCGGUGUGGGAUGGGCCCGCGGCCUAUCAGCUUGUUGGUGGGGUAAUGGCCUACCAAGGCGACGACGGGUAGCCGGCCUGAGAGGGUGACCGGUCACACUGGGACUGAGAGACGGCCCAGACUCCUACGGGAGGCAGCAGUGGGGAAUAUUGCACAAUGGGCGCAAGCCUGAUGCAGCGACGCCGCGUGAGGGAUGACGGCCUUCGGGUUGUAAACCUCUUUCAGCUAUGACGAAGCGCAAGUGACGGUAGUAGCAGAAGAAGGACCGGCCAACUACGUGCCAGCAGCCGCGGUAA